AGGUGCGAUCAUACCAGCACUAAUGCAGCGGAUCCCAUCAGAACUCCGCAGUUAAGCGUGCUUGGGCGAGAGUAGUACUAGGAUGGGUGACCUCCUGGGAAGUCCUUGUGUUGCACCUC
rnacentral:rRNA from 2 species